UACGUAGGGGGCUAGCGUUGUCCGGAAUCAUUGGGCGUAAAGCGCGUGUAGGCGGUUCGGUAAGUCCGCUGUGAAAGUCGGGGGCUCAACCCUCGAAUGCCGGUGGAUACUGUCGGACUAGAGUACGGAAGAGGCGAGUGGAAUUCCUGGUGUAGCGGUGAAAUGCGCAGAUAUCAGGAGGAACACCAAUUGCGAAGGCAGCUUGCUGGGACGUUACUGACGCUGAGACGCGAAAGCGUGGGGAGCGAACAGG
rnacentral:rRNA from 1 species